UGGGGAAUAUUGCACAAUGGGCGCAAGCCUGAUGCAGCCAUGCCGCGUGUAUGAAGAAGGCCUUCGGGUUGUAAAGUACUUUCAGCGGGGAGGAAGGGAGUAAAGUUAAUACCUUUGCUCAUUGACGUAACCCGCAGAAGAAGCACCGGCUAACUCCGUGCCAGCAGCCGCGGUAAUACGGAGGGUGCAAGCGUUAAUCGGAAUUACUGGGCGUAAAGCGCACGCAGGCGGUUUGUUAAGUCUGAUGUGAAAGCCCCCGGCUCAACCGGGGAGGGUCAUUGGAAACUGGGAGACUUGAGUGCAGAAGAGGAGAGUGGAAUUCCAUGUGUAGCGGUGAAAUGCGUAGAUAUAUGGAGGAACACCAGUGGCGAAGGCGGCUCUCUGGUCUGUAACUGACGCUGAGGCUCGAAAGCGUGGGGAGCAAACAGG
rnacentral:rRNA from 1 species